GGGGUCCGGGCUUGCUCUUGAUUAGCGGCGGACGGGUGAGUAAUGCCUAGGAAUCUGCCUGGUAGUGGGGGACAACGUUUCGAAAGGAACGCUAAUACCGCAUACGUCCUACGGGAGAAAGCAGGGGACCUUCGGGCCUUGCGCUAUCAGAUGAGCCUAGGUCGGAUUAGCUAGUUGGUGGGGUAAUGGCUCACCAAGGCGACGAUCCGUAACUGGUCUGAGAGGAUGAUCAGUCACACUGGAACUGAGACACGGUCCAGACUCCUACGGGAGGCAGCAGUGGGGAAUAUUGGACAAUGGGCGAAAGCCUGAUCCAGCCAUGCCGCGUGUGUGAAGAAGGUCUUCGGAUUGUAAAGCACUUUAAGUUGGGAGGAAGGGCAGUAAGUUAAUACCUUGCUGUUUUGACGUUACCGACAGAAUAAGCACCGGCUAACUCUGUGCCAGCAGCCGCGGUAAUACAGAGGGUGCAAGCGUUAAUCGGAAUUACUGGGCGUAAAGCGCGCGUAGGUGGUUCGUUAAGUUGGAUGUGAAAGCCCCGGGCUCAACCUGGGAACUGCAUCCAAAACUGGCGAGCUAGAGUACGGUAGAGGGUGGUGGAAUUUCUUGUGUAGCGGUGAAAUGCGUAGAUAUAGGAAGGAUUAUCUUUGUUUAAUGCUAUUACUUGUUUUGAUAUUUUCUUUUUUGUGUUAUUAUCAUGUUUAUCAUUCUUGAUUAUUUACUCUUGUUAGUCUCCUUCCUUAUAUUUUUUCUAUUUUUUCCUUUUUUAUAUUCUUUUAUAUCUAUA
rnacentral:rRNA from 1 species